rnacentral:misc_RNA from 1 species
CCUGAAAGCCUGCAAUAGUUCCUUAUCAAUCACAGCCUCCUUGACAGCAGAUGGCUCUUUAUUCCCAGUUUCCACCUUCGCAUCUCUUUUCUCCAACAAAUCAACAUCAGACUUGGGCUUUGCCACUUCAUUUUUUGUCUCCUUGGCAUCUUCCAAUUCUUUUUCUUUCCCAUUGCCAGUCACCGGUUCAUAGUCAGCAUCCAGACCCAUCUUUCCCUCUUCUUUGUUCUUCUCAUUAGAUGAGUCAUCUCCAACAUCCUCCAUUUCUUCAUAUUCUUCAGGAUCUUCCUCUGGGUCUUCCUCAUAAUCAGUUUCAUCUUCCGACCCUGCUUCAUUAACCUUAUCAACAGAAGUAUCUUCUUUUUUCUUAGUUUUUGGAUCCUCAGAUUGAUUUGUAGCCAACAGUUCAGAGUCAGAAGAUUUAGUCUUCAGAGGCUGUUCAUUCUUUGGGCGUUUGGUUGAUGAUUUCCUCUCCAUAUCCUUCUCUUCCAUUUCCUCCCGCAGCCUCUUCCGUUGAUUUCUUCUUGUUACAAAUUUAAUGCGUAGCUUCUGGAGAAAUGUCAGAAUACGAGAGCCCAUCUGAUAUUGAAGCAUUUCAUAAAAUGAUUCAGCAAAUAAUGAGAGCUCAAAUGUGGAUUCCUCGACAUCAUUAUCAGUGUAGUCCAAAAGUGAGUCAAGUGAAAGUGACAAUGACCGCAGCUUAGUUUCCUUGUCCCCUCUUGUUUGAAAAAUCAAUCCAGGAUGCCUAGGAGGUUCCUCAGGCAUUCUCUUUUCUUUUGCAUCCUUAUUAGAUUUUCCCCUAGACUCAUCUUUGCCAUUUUUGUCCUUCUCAUCCUUUGAUUUUUCAUCAUCCUUUGAUUUUCCUUUCUUGCUAUCAUGAUUAUCCCUCUGAGCAACUUUUUGUUUGUCAUCCUUACGCUCAAUUUUAGCCCCCGAGGCACUUUUCCCAUCAGUUUCUUUGUCAUCCUUCUUAUCCUCCUUGACAGCUUUGAUCUGUGUCUUAUUUGAAUUGGGCACACUAGCUUCCUUCUCC